AGCUUAGCACAGUGGCAGUAUCUUAGCCAAUGAGGUUUAUCCGAGGCACGAUUAUGGCUAAUCAAAAGACCUAGAGGUGUAGGUCACCUACCCAGGGUCACUCAGCAAUCAAGCCAAGGGACAGCCUCUGCUCUGGGUACAUGAGUGAGCAGAUGGGCUUUUCAAGGGACUCAUAGGAGG
rnacentral:snRNA from 14 species